rnacentral:rRNA from 1 species
UUUAUUAAGAGUUUGAUCCUGGCUCAGGAUGAACGCUGGCGGCGUGCCUAACACAUGCAAGUCGAGCGAGAAUCUGUUGAAUGAAACUUCGGUAGAUUUCUUCAGAGGAAAGCGGCGGACGGGUGAGUAACGCGUAGGCAACCUACCUCUUGCAGAGGGAUAGCCUCGGGAAACCGGGAUUAAAACCUCAUAAUGCAGAAGACUGACAUCUUUCUUCUGCCAAAGAUUUAUCGGCAAGAGAUGGGCCUGCGUCUGAUUAGCUAGUUGGUGGGGUAACGGCCUACCAAGGC